AUUCUUACCUGGUAGGGGAAAUACCAUGAUCACAAGUGUGGUUUUCCCAGGGCGAGGCUCAUCCAUUGCACUCUGGAUAUGCUGACCCCUGCGAUUUCCCCAAAUGUGGGAAACUGGACUGCAUAAUUUGUGGUAGUGGGAGAAAUCACCUGAUUUUCACCAA
rnacentral:snRNA from 1 species